GUCUUGGUGCUUUCAGCUUCUUUACAGUGCUGCCUUGUAGCAUUCGGGUCAAGCAGCAUUGUACAGGGCUAUGAAAGAACCAAGAA
ensembl:miRNA